UUGGCUGUUGUUCGGUUUGCUGAAUGAGCUGGCUGUCAAAUGUCCUCUAGCCAAUAGAAUACUAGAUAAAUGCUGACCGAGCAAAU